CUAAAUUGAUCAUGUAUUAACCUAAUUGCUAGGUGUCUAAAUGCGUGGGAAGCGACGGAUUGAGCAUUCGUCGAGCGGGUGCGAAGAUAUAGCCGAAACAAGCAUUCGGGGCUUCGUGUUGACCCGAAGAGCAUAAGUGGCGAUCAAGGAUCGCGAAAUCGAGUGCCUAGCAUCGCGACAUUAACCAAGAGGUGGGGGGUGUCCAUCCCAAAGCAACUGGGCUUCUUCCUAUGUCUAAGUAUCUUUAUGUGAUUACAUUCCAUAUAUAUAGCAUCAUGCAUGGUAGGGUGUUUAGAUGUUACUUUACUACUCUUGUAUAUUCCUUGGUAAUGCGGCAUAGUAGGCUUGGCAAGUGAACUUGGGAAUGCAUGAGAAUGAACUCUGUGACAUAGAACCCUAUAGAGAUAAAUUAGACUAUAACUUGAUCUUGCAUGGAUGAUUAUAAUGAUAUAUGACUAGUAUAGUCGGGAUAAUUGCAUUAUGCUAAGUGGCAUGUAUACCAAAUAAAUAACUUGACGAGUGGCAUAUGUAUAUCAAGUAAACAACUUGACGAGUGGCAUUAGAAUUUAGUGUUAGAGAACACUUGUGGCAUGGUAGUCCUAGUGACUAGAUCUCCUCAUUUGACGAGGAAUGGAUUGGAUUAUACUCACACGUCUGUUGAGCGCUUGUGGCGGUCGCUCCGCAUAAGUAGUGCGCUCCGGAGUUUGGCACGUGAAUCGAUUGGGAUAGCCUAGGUGGGUUCCCAAGAGAUAGCCUAUGUAGGGUCCCGCAGAUAGUCCCUCGGGUGGUUCGAGUCCCCCUUCAUAGACGGAUUUGAGAUGUGAGUUGAAGACGCGCUUAUGGGACAGCCAGAUGAUUGGGUAAUAAACUCAAGAGAAUUAUGCAAACUGGGCAUAUUAGGCAUAUUGUGCAUAUUGAGCAUUGUAGAGUUGUAUCCAUACUCGAUGUUGGUAUUAUAGCAUGUUAGCGAAUGCAUGGCUAUGUUGCUCAUUCUUGAAUCUCAAGGCAUAUUAGAGUAAUGCAAUUAUUUCAAUAUGCAUUAUUUACAGUUUUGGGAUAUCUAUCUAUCUAUCUAUCUGCUUAUACCUGCUUAGACCUAGUGGGGAGAUCGGCGGAGUCGGCGGCCGAACCAACUGGGAACUAUAUUUAUAUAGUUCUCACCCCACUUUGUUGCAGGGCCUAGCGAGAGAGCACCGGCAGAAGACCGUGGUAAGGGCAUAGCGCCCUAGACAGAUAGCAGCUUCCUAUGCAUUAGAGUACCCUCGAGUACCUAAAGUUAUGAUCUAUUUAUACUGUGGGAGUUGCUUAUGUAUUUUGGAGGAUUAUUGUAUAUAUCCGUUUUUGCAAGUUACAAAAUGUAAACUUAAUGUAAAAGAAUUGUUGCAUGGAUGUAAUAGCUAGAUGUUUCUCUCUUUAUUUCACUUGUCAUACUUAUGAAUUCUUGCUCUUACUUGCUGGCACUAGUAGUGCUUUUCGUUAUCAUGUAUGUAUUGAAUUUAAAUUCCUAGGCAUAUUCUUGUAUAUGAUCUGGUUGUUAGCCUUGGGCGGACAGGGGAGGUGUUGUCCGUUCGAUGUCUGUUCGAUGCGCCCGAACCGGACCAAAUUGGUAGCGGGCUCGGGGCGUGACAGGUAUUUAUGGUACCAGAGUAAGUUAAGAGCAAGUAAAGAGAGAAGUUUAGGAUGGACCUAGGAGGCCCUAGGUUGGUAAACCUUAAGGCUUUGGGUGCAUGAGUGAUGUGAACCUAUGCCGAGUGGCAGAAGAUAAUUCGAUUGGGUCGAAGUUGAAAGCGAUAUGUCUCUAGUUGUGAAUAGAGACGGAUUCAAGUGGUAUUAGUUCUUGGCUUGAAGUGAUUGUGUCGGCGUCCGAUGACAUGACGCUGAGAGUCUAGAAUGAGUACACUUGUGUACUUCCGCCUGAUUUUAAUGUUGAGUCGCGCAAUUUCGGUAACCGCGAAUGGGUGGAUGGGUUAAGCUAAUUGACCAGGUUGCUGCGUUACAGGAACUAAUGUCUCCAAGGCGCUACAUGCGUAGGACGGUUCCGGCACUGCCUUCUGAGGUGACAGAGCAAGCUAGACCUCCUUUGGUGCUAGAGUCGUCUGGUCCUAGCGAGGUGCAGGAGUUACGGGCGCAGAUGACCGCGUUAACUGGUCGGUUUGAUCGGCUCCAGGAGUUGAUAGAGCGACAGAAUGCAGCGACGGCUGCGACGGCGACGGAAGGUCGUAAUCCGCCUGCACCCUCGGCGCACGUGCCUGAGGUGGCAGAGGGUGAGGGCGUGGCAGCAGUCCCGGUGGCGGCAUGUCCCCCGCCGGCAAGUGUGCUUCCGGUGGUUUCGGGUACGGCAACACCCGAUGUGGCAGCUGAGGAAGUGGAGCGGGAGCGCACGUUGACGGCUCUUAUAAGGUUCAAGAAGUUCAACCCACCAAUCUUUGAAGGGGAAAAGGUGGAGCCAUCGAUGGUUGAGUCAUGGAUCGACUUAAUGGAAACCCUUUUCGAGGAUCUCUAUACCUCGGAAAAGGACAAGGUGAACCUCGCCACCCAUUGUCUCGAAAAGACGGCGAAGGUGUGGUGGAAACGGGUAAAGCGAGAUUGGCCUGAUCUUCCACCUAUGUUGUGGGACAGUUCAAGAGGGCAAUGUUCGCCAAUUAUUUUUCGGAUACGGUGAAGCGAAAGUUGCAAAAGAAGUUCCUCACACUGAAGUAGGGAGAUCGCUCGGUAGCGGACUAUGAGCAAGAGUUUUCUCAUAUUAUUGACUGUGUCCCGGAGGUUGUCGAGGAUGAUCGGGACCAGGCGGAUUGGUUCCUACGUCGAAAAUGGCCUGGGAUCUACAGGGCCGUGCAAUUAUUCAAGCUCACGAUCUUUGCUGAGGUCUUCGAUCGAGCAUUGUGAGCAGAACAUGGGGAUGCCUAUGUGCGAGAAGAACAUGAGCUGAUGGUUGGGUCUAAGGACAAGGGGAAGAAGCGUCAAGGCGGUAGUUCGGGGGGACAAUCGAGUUCUAUGAAGCCCCCGAAGCAUCCGCGCACACAGUCGUGGAGUCGAGGGACGCAACAGUGCGCUAUCUGCGGUGGCGGGGGCCACAGAGCACCGCAGUGUAGGGAGCGUCAAGGCAAGUGCUACAACUGUGGGCAAGAAGGGAACUUGAGCCGUGACUGUCAAGCGAGGGCCCUGCGUACCCCGUCAAUUGCGUCGACUCCGGCGACACAGGCGCAUUAUGGAGGAGCCCCACCUACUACCAUAUCGGCUGGAUGCGCUAUGGUGCCGCGUCAACCCGAGGUGAUUCAAUCAGUGCCAAGCGGACGGGUAUUCGUCGCUCAGGUUCAAGCAGAGGCGCCUGCGGAGGCGGAGGAGCAUCGCCUUGUGGCAGGUAUGGUUUUAAUUAACGAAAUUCCCUCUAGGGCUAUGUUUGAUACUAGUGCCAGGCAUUCAUUCAUCAGUAGAUCAUUCGCACGCAUGCAUGACAUACUCAUAGAGGCGAGUGAUGGUAAGUGGCGAGUUGAGGGCCCUGGAUUGACAUUUAAUACCUACACAGAAUGCUUAUCGUGUCUAGUACAAGUAGGUGACUGGAUAAUGCCUAUCCGGAUGUUAGAACUCAAGAAUCUUAAAGAAUUCGACGUCAUAUUGGGCAUAGACCAGCUCUCGAAGUAUCAUGCAACGAUCGACUGCAAGAGCAGAGUGAUUGCAUUUCGUGAGCCAGGACAGAAGGAGUACACUUAUCGAGCUUGUCAGAGCUCGUGCUUCGCCGCGACGGUGUCGGCGACGAGAGCAAAAAAGUUGGUCAACAGCGGUUGCGCUGCAUAUUUGGCGAUCGUUGUAGAAGUGGAUCGAGUAGCUCCGGCACUCAAGGAAUUGUCGGUGGUACGGGAGUUUCCGGACGUGUUUCCUGCGGAAUUAUCGGGGGUACCGCCUAAUCAGGAGAUCGAGUUCGUCAUAAACUUGAUCCCCGGCACCGCACCGAUUUUGAAGGCUCCGUACCGAAUGGCGCCGGCGGAACUGAAGGAGUUGAGGGGUCAGUUGCAAGACCUUCUCGACAAACAGUUUAUUUGGCCAAGCGUAUUACCGUGGGGAGCCCCGGUGUUAUUUGUACGGAAGAAGGACGGAUCGUUUAGACUCUGCAUAGAUUAUCGCGAGUUGAACAGAGUCACGAUCAAGAACAAGUACCCACUUUCCCGAAUCGAUGACUUGUUUGAUCAGUUGCAGGGGUUGUGUGUGUACUCGAAGAUAGACUUACAGUCCGGCUAUCAUCAGUUGAAGAUCAAGCCGGAGGAUGUGCAGAAAACUGCGUUUCGCACGCGGUAUGGACACUACGAAUUCACGGUCAUGCCAUUUGGGCUCAUGAAUGCUCCGGCAGUGUUCAUGGAUUUGAUGAACCGUGUCUUCGGAGGGUAUUUGGACUGAUUUGUCGUGGUCUUCAUAGACGACAUAUUGGUCUAUUCUCGCAGCGACGAGGAACAUGCCGAGCAUUUAAGGUUAGUGCUUCAAGUCUUUCGGGAGGAGAAGCUAUAUGCUAAGCUAAAGAAGUGUGACUUUUGGCUCCGAGAAGUCGCAUUUCUAGGGCAUGUAAUUUUCAAGGGUGGAGUUUCUGUGGACCCGAGGAAAGUUGAGGCAAUCAAGGAUUGGCCGCGCCCAACGAACGUCACGGAGGUCAGAAGCUUCAUGGAUUUGGCGGGCUAUUAUAGACGGUUCGUGUAAGGCUUUUGAAAGAUAGUAAUUCCACUUACCCAUCUGACUCAGAAAGGCACCAAAUUUGUCUAGAGUGACGAGUGCGACCGAAGUUUUAAAGAGUUGAAGGAAAGAUUGACUUCAACUCCGGUGCUCGCUCUACCGUUGCAAGGCGAAGACUUUGUGGUCUAUAGCGAUGCAUCUUAUAUGGGUUUGGGGUGUGUAUUGAUGCAAAACGAGAAGAUAAUCGCCUACGCGUCCCGUCAGCUGAAGAGCUAUGAGAAGAACUACCCCAUCCAUGAUUUAGAGCUGGCAGUGGUGAUCUUCGCUUUGAAACUAUGGAGGCACUACUUGUACAGUGCCCAUUGCGAGAUCUACAUCGACCACAAGAGUCUGAAGUAUCUAUUCACACAAAAGGAGCUUAACAUGCGACAAUGGCGGUGGUUAGAACUAUUAAAGGAUUAUGAUGUAGAUAUCCUUUACCACCCUGGGAAAGCGAAUGUAGUCGCGGAUGCACUCAGCAGGAAGUAUGCAGAGAACCUCGCUAUGUGGGUUACAAAUCAAACACCCCUAUGGCUCGACAUGGAGCGAAUGAACCUUGAGGUGGUUACUCCCGAGAUUCCGGCUCAAGUGAUGACACUCAUUGUCCAACUGACCUUGUUGGAGAAGAUCAAAGUCUACAACCCACGGACCGAGAACUCCAAAAGGUGCGGCGCGACAUCGAGAAUGGUUGUGGCAGCAACUUUACGAUAGACGCCGGUGGUGCACUUCGAUUUCGAAAUCGAUGGUGUGUGCCGAACAAUGAGGAGAUCCGAAGGCUAAUCUUGCAAGAGGCACAUUGGUCGCCUUAUUGCGAUCACCCGGGCGGCACCAAAAUGUAUCAAGGAUUAAAAAUGCACUAUUGGUGGCCGGGAAUGAAAGUGAUAUUGGACGCUUCGUAGCGAAGUGCUUAGUAUGCCAACAAGUAAAGGCCGAGCGUCGAUUUUCGGCGGGUAAGCUUCAAAGCCUACCAAUCCCCGUUUGGGAAUGGGAGGAUGUGUCGAUGGACUUCGUGGUCGGUUUGGCUCGCUCAACUGGUGUCCACGAUGCAAUCUGGGUAAUUGUGGACCGAUGGACGAAGUCGGCUCACUUUUUGCCGAUCCACACCACGUGGGCAGGUGACAAACUAGCGCAGGUGUACCUUGACGAGAUAGUGAGGUUACACGGGGUACCAAAGUCGAUCGUGUCGGUUCGCGACCCUCGGUUUACUUCACACUUCUGAAAAAGCCUGCAGGAAGUCCUUGGCACACGGCUCGAUUUUAGUACCACAUUUCAUCCUCAGACAGAUGGGCAAACCGAGAGGACCAUUCAAACUCUGGAGGAUAUGUUACGAGCGUGUGUCAUCAAUUAUAAAGGGAGUUGGUGUGAUCAUCUGCCGAUGGCCGAGUUCGCCUACAACAAUAGCUAUCAUGCUAGUGUGGAGAUUGCACCAUUCGAGGCUCUCUAUGGGCGGAAGUGUCGGUCUCCUAUACACUGGGGUGAUGUGGGUGAGCGUGUAGAGUUCGGCCGCGAUGUUUUGCGAGAAGCGGAGGAGAAAGUCCGCCUUGCUUGCAAGAGAUUGCUCAUGGCGCAGUCGAGACAGAAAAGCUAUGCGGAUAGGCGCCGUCGAGAUAUAGAGUUCGCGGUGGGCGACCGCAUAUUCUUGAAGGUUUCACCGAUGCGGGGCAUGAAACGAUUUGGAGUACGGGGAAAGCUAAAUCUCCCGUACAUCGGACCUUAUGAGAUAUUGGAGCGAGUAGGCACGGUGGCCUAUCGGUUGGCCUUGCCGCCGAAGCUCGCCGAUGUGCAUAAUGUAUUCCAUGUCUCCAAUCUUUGCAAGUAUAUUUACGACCCCGAGCAUGCGAUGCUAUAUGAGCCACCGGAGCUCCAAGAAGACUUGAGCUAUGAAGAAUUCUCGGUGAUGGUUAUUGCUCGAGAAGUGCGAAAACUUAGAAAUCGCGAAAUUCCGUAUGUUAAGGUUCGGUGGAGCAAUCACGAUGAUCGCGAAGCCACCUGGGAACUCGAGGAGCUGAUGAAAAAGCAUCAUCCUUAUCUAUUUAAGGAUUAAGGUAAAAGUUUAAGUUAAAGUUGAGAAUUGAGUUAGUUUCGAGGACGAAACUCUUUUUAAGGCGGGGAGGAUGUAAGGAAGUGAAUUCUCGAAAUUCAAGAGUUGUACUUCGUCCAGAAUCGACUACUUGUCGUAUAGGAUGGCUUCGAGGAAGCUAAAGAUGACCAAAACACAAAAAGUGCUUUAGAGUCGAGUCUGCGAGAGUAAAUAAUGCAAAAAUCUGCACUUGGCCGAGUUGCUCUCGGGGACCGGUCCCUGGAUCGGUCCCCGUAGCUGGUGGUUGUGGGGGAUGCUUGAUGCAACCGGUCCCAGAGCUGGGGAACCGGUCCCCAUAUGCGAAACCAGUGAGACAGAGGAAAAUUUGGCAAAGUCCUGAAAACUCAGCUCACGGGAACCGGUCUCUCAGGUAAGGGCCGAUCUCCCAGGGACCGGUCUCUCGUGCAAGGACCGGUUUCCGUACGCGUGAAAAUUGGGAAGGUCCUAGGGGACCGGUCCCUUCGCGUGAAAACUGCCCAGACAGAGCAGUUUGAGAGAAACAAAGUGGAGAGGUUUUAAUGCAAUUGUAGCAUUAGUUAGAGAGUAUAGAGAGCAAAGAGCUCUCUCACCCUCUCUCAUUUCCUUCACUCUCUCACAUUCUCUCUCUCUCUCUCUCUAAAAAGAAAAGAAGAAGAAAAAAAUAAGAAGGAGAAGAAGGAGGAGAAGAAGAAGAGAAGGAAGAGAUCAAGCUUGAGGAGGCUUGGAGCAUCUUCCUCUUCCUCUCCUCACCAUUGGAGCUAACCUAGAGGUAAGCUCUUGAAUCCUAGCAUGUAGAACUUAGGGUAUUUGGGUUUUUGGCUUUUAGGAUGAGGUCAAAUGGACCUCUAGCACUAUUAAUGGUGGAUUAAAGUUAGAAUCCAAAGUUGGAUGGAGUGGUUUGCAUUGGGCAAACCUAGAGCUCCAAAAUUGGGAUUUUUGUAAAAGGAAGGUUUUGAUCUAAAUUGAUCAUGUAUUAACCUAAUUGCUAGGUGUCUAAACGCGUGGGAAGCGACGGAUUGAGCAUUCGUCGAGCGGGUGCGAAGAUAUAGCCGAAACAAGCGUUUGGGGCUUCGUGUUGACCCGAAGAGCAUAAGUGGCGAUCAAGGAUCGCGAAAUCGAGUGCUUAGCAUCGCGACAUUACCCAAGAGGUGGGGGGUGUCCAUCCCGAAGCAACUGGGCUUCUUCCUAUGUCUAAGUAUCUUUGUGUGAUUACAUUCCAUAUAUAUAACAUCAUGCAUGGUAGGGUGUUUAGAUGUUACUUUACUACUCUUGCAUAUUCCUUGGUAAUGCGGCAUAGUAGGCUUGGCAAGUGAACUUAGGAAUGCAUGAGAAUGAGCUCUGUGACAUAGAACCCUAUAGAGAUAAGUUAGACUGUAACUUGAUCUUGCAUGGAUGAUUAUAGUGAUAUAUGACUAGUAUAGUCGGGAUAAUUGCAUUAUGGCAAAUGGCAUGUAUACCAAGUAAAUAACUUGACGAGUGGCAUAUGUAUACCAAGUAAACAACUUAACGAGUGGCAUUAGAAUUUAGUGUUAGAGAACACUUGUGGCAUGGUAGUCCUAGUGACUGGAUCUCCUCAUUU
rnacentral:lncRNA from 1 species